CGACAAGUCGAGCAGGUACGAAAGUAGGACAUAGUGAUCCGGUGGUUCUGAAUGGAAGGGCCAUCGCUCAACGGAUAAAAGGUACUCCGGGGAUAACAGGCUGAUACCGCCCAAGAGUUCAUAUCGACGGCGGUGUUUGGCACCUCGAUGUCGGCUCAUCACAUCCUGGGGCUGAAGUAGGUCCCAAGGGUAUGGCUGUUCGCCAUUUAAAGUGGUACGCGAGCUGGGUUUAGAAC
rnacentral:rRNA from 1 species